rnacentral:tRNA from 1 species
UCGACGGGGCCGCCCGGGCGUUGGGCGCGCUGCUCGGGCUGGCGGAGCCGCCGUUCGAGGCGGUGCAGUCGGC